rnacentral:sRNA from 1 species
UAAAAUCUGGGAUGAAAUUAUAAAUGUUUCCCGACAAAGAAUGAUUAUUCCUAGGAAAAUCCAUCCCAAUUUUA